rnacentral:lncRNA from 1 species
GUAAUAUAUGUAAGUUAGUUAUAACAUAUGAGGUAUGUUUUCUUGGCGUGGUUGAUUUUGCAUAAGUGGUUUGAUUUGGUGACCUGAAAUGUUUGCAAAUUGGGUAUUGAUUUGAAGUGUAUCUGAGGAAUAGUUCAUUUUGGGAAUGUUUGCUGGUUAGUACAGAUUAUAUGGUAAAAGGAAUUUAUGUAGGGUGAAGAGAUUUGUAGGGUGGAUUGGAUUGGAAGAUGGGAAGUUGAUGAGGCGGAUUACCUAUAAGUAGGAGUUUGUUUGCAAAAUUCUAGUCUUUUGUUACAAGUUUCUUUAUGAUUAUUGCUUUUAAGUAUGAAUAUUUAUCUGUUUGUUUUAAAUAUAUAAAAUCAACUAGUCUUGAUAACCGGUGCUCUCAGGUAAUGUGGUUAAGGAAUCUAUAAAUAGAAAAUUUGUCUUGAACAAUCUUUUAAC